UUCUAUUUAGAUGUAGGCAUGAAUUUAGGGGGGUCUAGUUCUAUCAACGAACUAUCCCUCCUCCUAUUAUGCAUAAAACAAUCUAAUCUUUCACAUUCACCAUUUUUAUGGUAUUUGUGUCACAAAGACGAGUUUUCGUCAUGGGCCCAAGGUUAAAAUCUUCGCGGUGCCAUACCAGUUCACUCAAACAUAGGUGGCCUCGGCCACCGCUACCUCUCAGUGAGGUCUUUACCCUUGGUGUUUCUUUUUGUUACAUCUUUUUUCCUCUCUUAAAGUUUUAGGUGUGGAAUCCCUCAAGGUGAGUAUUCCUUUUUGUGUGGAUCUUCUCAGUCACCUUGGAACUUCCCUACCAUACUCCCUUGCCUGCUCUCUGUCCCAAGCCCUCAUCACCCCUCAAACCCUCUCCAUUCCAUUGUACGCAUUGUUUCUCUAUGGUGGGGACUAAGGCAGGGCGGUACAACUAGUGGCUCAAGCGGUACAACCACUAAUCCCCCUUUGCCCC
rnacentral:lncRNA from 1 species